ensembl:lncRNA
GUGAAUAGAACAUUUUUAUUUCUAAGUUCAACUUACUGCACGCAUCAAAGUGGGAAAGUUCACCUGAUGUGACUGCGAAGGAAGAAAAAGAAAGAGAAAGCUGGACAGCAGUUUUGCAGAUAUAUUAACUGUAUUUGGAUUCUUCAUCUCUAGGAGUCACAUCCCUCACAGCAUUGCAGAGAGACACUGCAGCUGUCAAGAUACUUUUAAGUGUUCUGUGAUGAGUUUGACCUCCUAUCAUGACUGUCCCCUUGUUCUCAGACAUGGAAUUUAAAAACAAGUGCUGAAGUCCUCAAGCUUUACCUAACAUGUGUGGAACAGUACAGUUCCUUCUUGUUUGAAAGAAUAUUUAACCCCUCCUCCUGCCCCCCCCAAGACACAGACAACAAACAAACAAACAAAACCAAAAUCAUUUUAUUUCCUUUCUUCUGAAGUUUAAAAAGGAAAGCACAAAUUCUUCUGGUCAUGAAUG